GACGAACGCUGGCGGCGCGCUUAACACAUGCAAGUCGAACGGAAAGGCCUGCUUUCCCUUGUGGAUUGCGGGUACUCGAGUGGCGAACGGGUGAGUAACACGUGAGUGAUCUGCCCCCAACUUGGGUAUAAGCCUGGGAAACUGGGUCUAAUUCCCGAUAGGACUGCAGGGUGGUGCCUGUGGUGGAAAACGAUUUUCUAGUGGUUGGGGAUGAGCUCGCGGCCUAUCAGCUUGUUGGUGGGGUAAUGGCCUACCAAGGCGGCGACGGGUAGCCGGCCUGGGAGGGGGGACGGCCACACUGGGACUGAGACACGGCCCAGACUCCUACGGGAGGCAGCAGUGGGGAAUAUUGCACAGUGGGCGGAAGCCUGAUGCAGCGACGCCGCGUGGGGGAUGACGGCAUUCGGGUUGUAAACUCCUUUCGACCGCGAGGAAGCCACCUGGUUGGAAGGGUGGUGACGGUAGUGGUAGAAGAAGCACCGGCUAACUACGUG
rnacentral:rRNA from 1 species